UACGAAGGGGGCUAGCGUUGUUCGGAAUUACUGGGCGUAAAGCGUAUGCAGGCGGAUCGUUAAGUCGGGGGUGAAAUCCUGGAGCUCAACUCCAGAACUGCCUUCGAUACUGGCGAUCGUCGAGUUCGGGAGAGGUGAGUGGAACUGCGAGUGUAGAGGUGAAAUUCGUAGAGUAUUCGCAAGAACACCAGUGGCGAAGGCGGACUCGCUGGCCCGAUACCUGACGCUGAGGUGCGAAAGCGUGGGGAGCAAGCAGGGAUUAAGAUACCCCAG
rnacentral:rRNA from 1 species